AUGUUGGGUUAAGUCCCGCAACGAGCGCAACCCUCGCCCUUAGUUGCCAGCAUUAAGUUGGGCACUCUAGGGGGACUGCCGGUGAUAAGCCGAGAGGAAGGUGGGGAUGACGUCAAGUCCUCAUGGCCCUUACGGGCUGGGCUACACACGUGCUACAAUGGCGGUGACAAUGGGCAGCGAAGGGGCGACCCGGAGCUAAUCUUUAAAAACCGUCUCAGUUCGGAUUGUUCUCUGCAACUCGAGAGCAUGAAGUUGGAAUCGCUAGUAAUCGCGUAACAGCAUGACGCGGUGAAUACGUUCCCGGGCCUUGUACACACCGCCCGUCACACCAUGGGAGUUGGCUUUACCCGAAGGUGGUGCGCUAACCUGGCAACAGGAGGCAGCCAACCACGGUAGGGUCAGCGACUGGGGUGAAGUCGUAACAAGGUAGCCGUAGGGGAACCUGCGGCUGGAUCACCUCCUUU
rnacentral:ncRNA from 1 species